AGCGGCGGACGGGUGAGUAACACGUGGGCAACCUGCCCUGGAGCGGGGGAUAACAUCUGGAAACAGGUGCUAAUACCGCAUAAAACCCCCCCCGAAAACACAUGGUUUUCGUUUCAAAGAUGGUUUCGGCUAUCACUUCAGGAUGGGCCCGCGGUGCAUUAGCUAGUUGGUAAGGUAACGGCUUACCAAGGCAAUGAUGCAUAGCCGAGUUGAGAGACUGAUCGGCCACAAUGGAACUGAGACACGGUCCAUACUCC
rnacentral:rRNA from 1 species